rnacentral:ncRNA from 1 species
UCUUAUCGAGAAAGGUGGAGGGACAGGCCCUGCGAAGCCUUAGCAACCAGCUGCGACUGCGGUCGGAGUGUUAGGUGCUAAUUCCUGCCCAGACUUCCGGGACAGAUGAGA